rnacentral:tRNA from 1 species
GGAGGUGUGGCUCAAUGGCAGAGCGCUUGCCUAGCAUGUGCAAGGACCUGGGUUGGAUCCCCAGGUCACCA